AACAAUGCAAUUUCUAAAAACAAAAAUUUUACAUUUUCUUGUGCGUACAUUUUGUUAUUAUCAGAUGUCUACCAACAAGCGAAAAAAAAAUAACAUUGGCGUUAAGAAAUAUAUUUUCGUGAUUAUUUAAUAAAAAAAUCCACAUCAACGACAGCAAUAUCAAUAGCAUUGAAUAAUUACAUAAAUAUAUACCUUACUACAACACCCAGCAAAACGAGUCCAAACACACAAAAAGACAUAUUUCUUACACAAGACGUGUUCCUAAAUCAAGACGUUUUCGUGAACGAAGAUAAAUUAGAAUUAGAAAUACUAGGGCACAGUACCACCCUGGCACCUGAAGACAAAAAAGAAAGAGAUAGAAUGCAAAACAAUAAAGAACUAAGCGACAACCAAAUGCUAUAAAAGAAGUUCAAUACUUCCCCAAUACAGUUGUUUAUCACAUACACAUCUUAGACUAAAAACUUCAUGACCAGUCUUUGAAAGCACGAUUCAGGGUCGCGAGGCAGCUCCAGAAAAAGUUAUAAAAAAAAAUAAUAGCAAACGUAUACUUGAAAAGCUUCAAUAAAGUUCAAAAAAAAAGGACAUCUAAUAACUCUACGUCAGACCAAGUAGUCAAGAUGAACGAUGCUAUCAACAGUGUUGAUGAACCAUUCAAAUUUUCAACGGUUUCUGAAGAAGAAGAUAAUAUUCGGGAUUAAGAGGCAAUCCAACUCGGUGAACAAGCAGUUGAAAAUGACCUCGCUUUGUAGAAAAGAGUUUUAUCCAAAGUCGAGCGCAUUCGAGUGAGACUUAGUAGACCACCUUAAAAUCUGACAUUUUUUCUUAGAGAUUCAAAAAACAAAAAAAGUUUUUACCUUCGAGUGGAAUUGCCAAAGCAUUUGUUUGUUUACCCUGUUCUAUUUUCGCACAAAAGCUUUUCCUCUUGACGUCGAAUGCCGUAUUUAAAGAUAAUUUGUGAAAACUAGGAGAAAAGAUUAAAAGCCACCAGUCUAAUGUUCAGUACAAACAUCAUUAAAUCGUCUGGAAAUCAGCUUUUAAAACCUUAAAAAUUCAGACCGGGAUCUAUUUAAAACUUGAAAUAUCAAUAAGAAAUGAGGUAUCUAAGUGGUAUGAAACUUUACUUUGCGUACUGGACGUCACUCUCCAUUUAGCUUCAAGAAAUUUAAUUUUUUGAGUUGUGUUUUCAGUUUACAUUCAAAAAGUUUUAAUGUUGCUUGGAAUAUUAAUCUAAACGUAAUCUUUUAUUUCAAUAUAUUGCUCAUAUUUGUGUAGGUUCAUCAAACAUGUUGGACGAGGAUGAUAAUAGUAAUUUUUUAGCCUUUCUUGAGCUUUUGGAGAAAAACAAUUAGACACCUUAGUUACAUUUAGAAGACGUUUCUUGACACCAAAACAAGGAACAAGGAUGCAAGCACACAGUUUGAGCUUGGAAAUUCAAAAUGAGUUUAUUAAAAAAAUUUCUUUGCUGCUAUUGUUAAAGAGAUCCAUACAGCCAUUUAGUUUUCCGUUAUUGUUGAUGGAACUCCGGAUUUGUUUCAUACGGAAAAAACUACUUUUUUUCUUCAAUUUGUCCGCCUAGGAUCUGACAAUCAAUGGAUAGUUAAUCAAUGGAUAGACAAUCAAUGGAUAGUAAAAGUUUUCUGAAGGUAGAAAAUCUGGAGAGAAAAAUCUGAUAUUGGAUUAAAGCUGAGUUAAUUUAAGGUACUGUUGAGGCCAAGGCUAUGAUAACGGAGCCAAAAUGUUCGGUUUAUAUAAAGGAGUGCAGGCCAUCAUUCUCAAUUUUUUUAAAGGUUUUUAAAGACUCUAAUCUAUGAUCUUGAUCGACUACGUUCUUUUUAGUCCCAAAUCCUUUAAGAAGCAAAACUAAUUGCAUCUGGGUUAAUUUCGUUUGGGUUCCAAAAUGAUUUUUUUAAGAAUACGACAAGGAAAAUAAAAACACUUUACAACGAGUCGAUGAAAACAGUCCACUUUCACGAAGACGAACCAAAGGAUUUUGAGGUGAACGUAUUUAAUGUUGCUCUUGACACGCUACUCCAGCAGAUAAGAAGCAGAAUGGAUAUAUCUCAAAAGACAACAGUUUUGUUUUUUGUUCAUUUGGUGGUCUCUAUCUCCUUCUAGUGAUAAAGAAACAUUUAUUCAGAAAGAAAAAUACAAAUACCUCUACGUAAAUGAUAUAAAAGAAAAAGAGUUAAUUAAAGAAAUCUGUUAUCUAGAUGUUCUCAAACGAUUAAAUUCUUUUGGACAAAGAGAAUCCUUUUCUUUUAUCAAGUAGGUUAACAGAAUCUACCAGAAAGGUCUUCAGUGAAUAUUUCCUUCCAUCUACAUUUUGAUUUACAUUUUUAAUACAAUCUUGGCUUUAGUGGCUGAAAGACAACGCUUGCUCUCAUCAAAUUCAAAUUGCAAUUAACUAUGAAUUAAAAACGCCUUACUAAUCUUAUGAUAGUUUUAAACGAAAACGACCUUGACAACAAUUCUUUAAAUUAUGUGAUAAUUUCUAAACAUCUUAAGAUAUCAAAAGUUAUUCCUGUAUUCAAAAAGCUCAGACAGUUUUAUGGCUUCUAACUAUAAUUUUUUACAUGUUAAGAGUAUGUGUUUAUAUAUUUAUGAACUACAUA